AAUGCAUUUAUGGAACUCUGUAGACCCUUUGAAUAUUCCAAAUGAUAUUUAUAAUAACUAGAAAUACUUAUAUUUAUAUUAUGCCUACUAUAUGAUAAGUACUUUAUAAUUAUUCUGUAUCAGCUUCACUAAAAUCCUUUAAGUUAGUUGUUUUAUUAUUAUUAUUAUUAUUAUUUCUAUUUUACAGAUAAGAAAAAUAGGGGAGAAGUGAUAUACCCAGGGUCACAUAGCCAUUGAUCUUCAUGAGUAUGCUAAAACCAAGAUCAAAGAAGCCCCUAAAUCCAUCCACUACAAAAGAUUUCAGGUGAUUUCUUCUUGGAAGCUUGGAGGGAACUUUCCCCUAACUGCCAGAUGCCCAAUCCUUGGUCAAGGAUUUUUUGAACUAAGUCCAAAGCCUGUGAUUGAUUGAUUCAAUGAAGACAUCUCCUCUUCCAUCAGACUCAGUUCACACUUGUGACUGAUUGAUUGCUCUCACCUAAUGAAGAUUCUUGAAUUUCUGAGCAAGAAGGGAAAUCAGAGCGCAUCUUGUUCCAUUUUACAUAGAAAAGAAUCUUCUUUAAAAUAUAGUAAACAAGUAAGUAUCUACUUCAGCCCUAUGUUUGGGUCUCCUACAUAAGGAGACCUUACUGCCUCCUAACACAGCCUAUUAGAUUCUUGGGGCGACAGUUCUAAUUUUUAGGAAGCUGUUGGUUUUUGCUUCUUAUAUCUAG
rnacentral:lncRNA from 1 species